rnacentral:tRNA from 1 species
UACAUUUAAGUGUAUGGUGCACGUGAAUUUUUGAUAUUUAAAGGAGUAGUUUAAAUCUAUUGAAUGUAG